rnacentral:lncRNA from 1 species
UUUCGACUCAAUAUUCGGGAUAACCGCCACACAAAAAAAUUUGCAAUUUGAGUUUCAUUCAGAUCGAACUUUCUACUUUUAGAGUAGAAAGAACAAAAAAAGUCAGGUAUGUGUCCUAUCUUAAUUAAUUUUUUCCCGAUUAGAUUUACUUUGUAGUUUUAUGAUCUUAAUGUUUCUGUUAAUUAUAUGCGCUUCUGUAAAUUGAGACUGAAUUUUUUAAAUUUUUUGUGAUUCUUCUUCCCCCCCCCCCUUCUAGAUAGGUAAAGCGAUGGAUUCUAUUUUUAGAUGUUACAUGAGAUUGUAAUUUGAAAGGAUUUUAAUUCAAAGUCAUUUUAUUUUCAGAUCGUGGACAGUUUUUUGAAAAUUCGUUGACUGGAUCUCGAUGUCUUCAAUGUGAUACGUGACUGAGAAUAGCAUUUAGUGCUCUGGAUUCCGAUCAAUUAUUGCUGGUUUUCUUGUAGAGGUUCAGAUUUUUGAAGUCUGUGUUGUAAAAGUUCAAUGGCAAGGAUCAAACCUCAAACUCUGUUACAACAAAGCAAGAAGAAGAAGGGACCAAGUCGCAUCAGUGUUGCUACCACUGCAAUUUAUGGCAUCGUAGUCGUUGGAAUGGUGCUUUUCAUUUUCGCCACCUGCAGAUACUGGUCUAGAAGGUUUG